UACGAGGGAUCCUAGCGUUGUUCGGAAUCAUUGGGCGUAAAGGGUGUGUAGGCGGCCAUGUAAGUCAGUUGUGAAAGCCCCGGGCUCAACCCGGGAAGUGCUUCUGAUACUGCUUGGCUUGAGUAUUGGAUAGGUGAGUGGAAUUCCAGGUGUAGUGGUGAAAUACGUAGAUAUCUGGAGGAACACCGGCGGCGAAGGCGGCUCACUGGCCAUAUACUGACGCUGAGGUGCGAAAGCGUGGGGAGCAAACAGG
rnacentral:rRNA from 1 species